CCUACGGGAGGCAGCAGUGGGGAAUAUUGGACAAUGGGCGAAAGCCUGAUCCAGCCAUGCCGCGUGUGUGAAGAAGGCCUUCGGGUUGUAAAGCACUUUCAGUGGGGAAGAAAGCCUUGGGGCUAAUACCCUCGAGGAAGGACAUCACCCACAGAAGAAGCACCGGCUAACUCCGUGCCAGCAGCCGCGGUAAUACGGAGGGUGCGAGCGUUAAUCGGAAUUACUGGGCGUAAAGCGCGCGUAGGCGGUCUGAUAAGCCGGUUGUGAAAGCCCCGGGCUCAACCUGGGAACGGCAUCCGGAACUGUCAGGCUAGAGUGCAGGAGAGGAAGGUAGAAUUCCCGGUGUAGCGGUGAAAUGCGUAGAGAUCGGGAGGAAUACCAGUGGCGAAGGCGGCCUUCUGGACUGAUACUGACGCUGAGGUGCGAAAGCGUGGGUAGCAAACAGGAUUAGAUACCCUUGUAGUC
rnacentral:rRNA from 1 species